rnacentral:lncRNA from 1 species
AAUAAAUCCACAUUUUUCAAAAGAAAAAAUUAAGCUAGACUUUACAGAAUCUCUGAAAACAAACCCAGAAAAUGCCAUUUUGAGUAGAAAUGUUAUUCUUUUGUUUGCUUCUCCUAAUAUUGUAGAUUCUUUUCCCAACUUCUUAACUUUUUAAAAUAACAUUGUAUAAGUCACAUGGAAAGAUGUAAAGAAGAUAGUUAUGUAGCCCAGGGAAUUCCCAAUAUGAGGAGAGUGGCAAGACUUAUUGCAGUAGCAACAAGAGCUGGAUGAACCCACCAUUUUAGGGAGUCCACUCCUUUCACUUUUCAGGGGAAAAUAAAAUGCACAGGUGAUAUAGAAUCUAAAUUCCAGGCUUUUGGGAAACAUCUCACAUCCAAACCACAAGAAUUUCUUACAAAAAAAAAAAAAAAAAAUAGCAGGAAGACUAUUUGGAAUAAUGCUCAUGGGCACAAUUGUUUAUUUAUUAAGGUUUAUUGAACAGGAUAUCUUUAUUUUUAAUAUUUUUUAGUUGUCAAUGAAUCUUUAUUUAUUUAUAUGUGGUGCUGAGAAUUGAACCCUGUGCCUCACACAUGCCAGGCAAGUGCUCUACCACUAGGCCACGUCCCCAGCCCUGAAUAGGAGAUCUUGAUCAGCUCAUUGAAAAUUUCAUCUCUGGGAGAUCAAGAGGAGAGGACUGUCCUGGGCCCAGAGAUACACGGUGAGCCACCCCAUGCUGGGUUUCCUUAUUCACCAAAGCAUGGCUCCACAGCCCAACAUCAGCAUACAUAUAGGCUUAAGGCUGCCACCACCACAAAACUAUGAUAUCACCAAUAUCACUGCUUGUAUCAAGGGACAAUAAUAAGGACCUGGUAAAAUCAUCAAGGUCCCUGGCUGCACCAGAGGUUUCUCUACUAGGGGUGCAACAGUUAUCUUGUUGCUGAGGUAACAGGGAGUCUUGCAUGGGGUUGCCUAUCUCUUGUUUCUCCUACUAACAGCCAGCUUCUUAUGAUUACCCUCUCACUAGUCAUAUAAUCUAAUGCCUCCAUAUUCUCACAUCCUACCUCCUAAACAUCUCAGCCAACUCCCCAGGACCCCUAUCUACCUUUAGAAACUGUAUACAAUUACGCAAACUUAUUGACUAUAAGGUAGAAGAUAACCGAACUCAUCAUUUCUGAUUAUAAUGACAAAACUGUAAAUGUAAAAAUAGAAGCUAACUCAUAUAUGGCUGCAUGUUGGGUACAUUGAGUGCUGUAAUAUUGAUCUCUCCCUUAAAAGUGAGGUAUUAGUAACCUAUAGGGACACUAUAAGACAAUAGGACAGAAGCUGUAAUACCUCGGAUCUACACUGCAAAAGAGGAAGGCUCAUAGACAUCAUAAAAAAACAAAGGAGGAAAGUGCCCCAAACAAGCCAAGAUAUACAACAAUAGAAUACAUAAUAGUGAAGUAGGUUAAAUGUCAGAGAAGGAGUUGAGAAUAUACAUAAGUAAAAUGAUAUGGGAAUUAAAGAACAACCUAAGUGAGCAGAUACAGGCAAAAAUCGAUCACUCCAACAAAAAGAGAACAAAUACAAGUUGUAAGAGAUUACUUCAAGAAAGAGAUAAGAGAUACUGAAAAAAAAAAUAGGAAUCUUCAAAAU